AUUGAACGCUGGCGGCAGGCCUAACACAUGCAAGUCGAACGGAGCGGCGGACGAGUAAGUAAUGCCGAGGAAGCUGCAUGGUCGUGGGGGAUAACGUCCGGAAGCGGGAGAUAAUACCGCAUACUAUAAGAUUAGCCUCGGGCGUCGUAGAUAGUUGGUGGGGUAAAGGCCUACCAAGGCGACGAUCCGUAACUGGUCGGAGAGGAUGAUCAGUCACACGGGAACUGAGACACGGUCCAGACUCCUACGGGAGGCAUCAGUGGGGAAUAUUGGACAAUGGGCGAAAGCCUGAUCCAGCCAUGCCGCGUGUGUGAAGAAGGUCUUCGGAGUGUAAAGCACUUUAAGUUGGGAGGCGGUACCAACCGAAUAAGCACCGGCUAACUUCGUGCCAGCAGCCGCGGUAAUUC
rnacentral:rRNA from 1 species